ensembl:lincRNA 4933436I20Rik RIKEN cDNA 4933436I20 gene
AUUGUGUCUACUUCCCUUUUUAGUUCUAGUAUGGUUUUGUUCAUUUCCAUCACCUGUUUGGAUAUGUUAUCUUGUUUUUCUUUAAGGACUUCUGUUUGGUUGUGUUUUCCUGUUUUUCUUUAAGGACCUGUGACUCUUUAGCAGUGUUCUCCUGUAUUUCUUUAAGUGAGUUAUGAAAGUCCUUCUUGAUGUCCUCUACCAUCAUCAUGAGAAGUGUUUUUAAAUCUGGGUCGUCUAGAUUUUCGGUUGUGUUGGGGUGCCCAGGACUAGGUGGGGUGGGCGUGCUGUGUUCUGAUUUUGGUGAGUAGUCUUGGUGUCUGUUAGUAGGAUUCUUACAUUUGCCUUUCGCCAUCUGGUAAUCUCUGAAGCUAGCUGUUAUAGUUGUCUCUGGUUAGAGCUUGUUCCUCAGGUGACUUUGUUAGCCUCUAUAAGCAGACCUCGGAGGCUAGCUCUCUCCUUAGUUUCAGUGGUCAGUUUCUCUGUAGGCAAACUCUCUUCUUGCAGGGAAGGUGCCCAGAUAUCUGGUGUCGAACCUGCCUCCUGGAAGAAGUUGUGUUCCACUCACCAGAGGUCUUAGGAUCCCGUGGGGAAUCCUGUGUGGGCCCUUGCGGUUGUUGGGAGAUCCCACUGGCAAGGCACCCCGUGCUCGAGUGGAGCAGAAGGGACUUGUGCCCCAGGUCAGGCCCGGGUCGUCUGCUUCCCUAUUUACCGAAGUCUCAGGUUCCACGCGAUUGGAUGGAGGCAGACGCUGUGUUUCACUCACCAGAGGUCUUAGGAUCCCGCAGGGAAUCCUAUGUGGCCCCCUGCGGAUGUUGGGAGACUCUGCUGGCAAGGCACCCCGGUGCUCGAGUCUUUGACUAUGACCUGGACUCAAGCUGUGGUCUUGGUGUCUACUGGGAUGAGUGUUGCACAUCUAUGAAUACAAUCAAGAAAAUCCCCACAGAUACUAUCACAGGUCAACCUUGUCUACGCAACCAUUGAGGCUCUCUUCCCAGGAUCACAGAGUAGCAUGAGGAGAGAUACUUCAAAAUAUCUUCAGAGAAGCAUGAAAAGAGAUUCCCCAAGAUGCCUGGCUUUGAAAUACAUAAUUAAACAGAGACUAGAAGUGGAGUCUAUUGAAAUUAACCUACACAGUGGAGAUAAAGUUCUGAGUGCUUUACAAAGAAAGACUACUUGACAUAUUGUGGAUCCUUCCAAUUUGGAAUCGACAUAGUCAAAUUAAGAUGAACUGCAGAGGCAGCAAGGAAAACAAAUAGGAUAACACCAGCAACUGACCCAAUUCUACGCAAGUCUAGCCUGAUGAUCAAUGAGUUUAAUUGGAAUUACUGACAAGAGCAUGAUCAACUUACAAAUGGCUGUACCACUGCCUCCCUUAGUGGCUGCUAACCACAUCUGUACAUGUGAUGGCAAUAAACUCUUUAGCUCCUUCUCCUC